UCGCCGCGCCCGCCUCUCUGAUCCGGCCCGGCCCGGCGCGGCCCGGGAGCGGGCCCGGCUGCCUCGGGGGCGCCGGACUGCUGCUUCCCGGCUCCGGGCUGUGGACAUGCCAAGGGGCUGCAGGAGGCUGUACCGCCCCAGCUUGUUUGGAAAUACGUGAUCCAAACCUGAGCAAACUGACUGCAGACAUUUUUGUGAACCUUAUAGGCUUUGGUUCAGAAUCUGUGAUACAAGAGAAUCCACUUUACAGAACGGGGGUGUAAUUCCAUCAAGGACUUCUGGUGACCUCAUAAACCAUGAGAGCUGGCACGGACUUUAAUGGGCACCACGUGGUUAAGUUUCCAUGCAUCAUUUUGAAAAUGUAGGGCUUCAUUUGAUAUUGCAAAAGGAUACUAGACCUACCAUGUCAAAUUGUUUCUCUUUCUUCUAAAGGAACCACCCGCUUUAUGUUACAGUCAGUCCUCUUUGGUAGCAAAUGAAAUAUGCCUUUCUGGAAAAUUAGUAUUUUCUCUGGCAAAAUGAACUUGAAAAGUGUGUUUCAUAGAAAAGCACAUAUUUGGGUUACAUUCUUUUAAAUAAACUUUCUAAAAUGAUGGCAGUAAAUUCAA